CGGCCAUCUUGUGCGUCGGCUGCCUCCCUGCGCCGCCGCCCGCCCCUUCCUGCGCCCGGCGGGCGGAGGGAGAGGAGGAACCGGCAGAAACAGCCGAGUCACGGGCCGGGCCCUGCGGGGCGAGGGGCUGCCGGGCGGGGGAGCCGUCCGCUGCGCUGCUCCCUGCCUUCCGUGUUUUUGGAAAGGCUUUGGUGUACAACCCAUACAGUAAGGAUGCUGCACGUGGAAUCCUUGCAUUGCUAACCACUUCACAAUACUGCAAGGAGCGUGCACUGCUCUGUCAGUUCAACAUCCCAACAGCAGAGGACUGUGUGACCUUCAUCUACCAUUGAAGCAAUGUGAUGUCAGGUUUCUUUCUUAACUGUUAUGCUACAAGUGUGAACCUUGCAGAAGUUUCUAGUAUCUUGUUCAGACACAGAAGCCAGCACCAGGAGCUAAAAUGGUUGGUGUUCUAUGCAAACUUUGUUUGAAGUUGAAGAAACUAGAACCAGUUGAGGUCCAAACACGUGCUCCUCCUUCCUGGUGUAUAUCAAGUGGUGGUACAGAGUACAUAAUCCUAGUAUUUUAUUCAGUUGUGUUCUCAGUACUUCAUUCAGAAGCCUUCUACUACUUCCUAUAGUCAGUUCCUAUAUAUUGUUCCUGUCUAUUGAAAGGUUUUAAUUUCAGGUAACUCAUGUUUGCCUUCAAUAUUUAAUUCUGUUACCACUUAGUAAAUUCUGUUACCAGUAUUUACUCAUUAACAACAAAUUUCCAUAUUACAGCAUAGUCUGUCCCAGUGCUGCAUUGUUUAGAGAAGAGGGCUCUGGAAUGACCUUGCUUGUUAAGUAACAUUGCAAAGAUGACUGCCCUGAAUUUCAUAACCCAUUUUAAUCUUCAUCAGAGUAACGCUUCUAGGUCAUUAUUCUGUGUCCUGGAUUUUAAAUAUUCAGGAAUUUGUAGGUGAGCUUCUUCCUUCUUAUUCUUUUUUUUUUUUUCCCUCUUUUUUUUUUUUUUUUUUUUCUUCAGGAGAUGAUCUCACAAGAUAGCUGGUUUAUUCUUAAGGUUCACUUUGUCCACUUAUCCAGCAUUAUUUCCUAUAUGAUAUACUGCUUCAAUAUAUGAAACAGAAAAUAUUUGCUUUCAGGAUUACUGUUUUCAUAUCUCAUUUCAGCUUUUUAAUUCUGCUGUAAUUUAUCUUCACUUAUUCACAUUGUUCUAUUAUUAUUAUUAUUAUUAUUAUUAUUAUUUUGUUCUCAAAAAACAACAUAAAUUAGUUUAGAUUCUACAAUACCAUGUGUCAGUUUUCCAUUUCAUCUUUAUUAUUUUUGUUCCUCUCAUCAAUGAGAUGCUAAUGUUGGCACAGUUCUAGUAGCCAACCUAGUAGCCUUCAGAUUCAUUAGAAAUGAGUCCCUCUACAAGCCUACAUGACUGACAGAAAUAGCUAAAAUAUCAAUGCAACUGUGAAAUAGUAUCAAUUUGAUUAUUCAAUUUAUAUUAUUUUCCGUACAAAAUCUUAGUGCAGUAACACAGUAGCCAUCUGCAUAAAAGAGAAAGGUUUUUAACAAGUCGGCAGUGUUUCAGUUUGCUAUUUCAGUUACCUGCGUGACCUAUAAAGCUGAUAAUAGUGGAAAUUUUCUCAUUUUGAAACCUGUGAUAUCAAAAUGAAAGGAAAGAAAUAAAUAUUUUUUCCAACUGGCCUCAAGCAUUAAAAAAUGUUCCUUUUCUUUCACAUAUGCAGGACUCUUGCAUAUAUGAUAUAAAAUAAAAGAUAACACUGGAGGAAAGCUUCAGCAGUUUCGUGUGCUUGACCAUUGCAAAUAUAUGCAUUAACAAAACCUGAAAUUCCUGCUGUUUUAUAAAGUGUCACUGACAGAAGCAGAAGACAGAAGCAUGUCCUUCCAAUGUGAAAACUGCAAAAGUAAAAAAUAUUCAUUAAAGAAAAUGCUGAAUAUCAUCCAAAUGAAAGUUCAGAUGCAACUUUCAGAACCAGUCAUAUAUGCUUACUGUAAAGUAGUAAGAGGAUGAAAACAAAGUAAAGUUUUCCCCUGUGGAAGGCUACGCCCAGUAUCUUAAAUGUAGUAACAUACAAAGUUCAGAUUUCAUUUAUACAAGAGAAGCCUUAGUGGUGUAAUGGGAUGUGAAGGGCAUGAGUGUGAGAUUCAUGUACCUUCAUGAAUGCUUAUCUCUCUACCAUUCAGUUUACACAAGCAAGAACAUGCUAUGUAACUCUCCAAAUGUUAUCGUAUUUGUUUAAAAAUGUGUAAAGCUUUCUACAGUUCUAUGAUGCUAUGUGCAACAGAUUUGCAGGAUAUCAGCACAGUUAACAUUUGUGUUUUCUGGUUGCUAGGAAUGAAAUAAUUACAUAAAUGUACACUGUGGCUUCAGUUGGUGUUAAAAAAUAUAUAAUAAGAGAAGAAACGGCAAGGAAGGCAGGAGUAAUCUGUUGUGCCACGUGAUGCUGUCUACUUUUCUUUGAUUCAAGCAGAGGAAGGAGGAGGCAUUCACAAAAGAAAACGGAAAUUCAUAAAGGGAAACUGACACCACUAUUGGAGCCUACCAAUUGCAGUCUGCCACAGACAGGCCUGAAGUUCCAACAGCUUUUCUGAUGUUAAUGUUCAGAAGCAAUUUUUUUUUACAGCAACUUUUGGGAAUGUCUCACACUUCUGAAGGAUGUCAACGGAUUGGCAUUGAUGGAAAUAAGACACUUGGCUUUAAAGGCAGGAGAGCAUAGAUUUGGCAACACAGCAGUUCUAGAUAUCAGAGAUGUGUACAAUGCACAGAGUGUUUGUGUGGGUGUAUGUUUAUAUACAAUGAAUACUUAUGAAUAUACAUAGUAUAGAUAUGUAUAAACACAAAAGCCCUUUGUGAUCUCAUGGUAGCAUUUCCUAGCACUCACUUUUGCACUUAUCUGGCUUUGUUUCUUAAACAAGAUAGAGAUCUUCUAACGCAGCAGCAUGAAAUGUAAGCAUUAGAACUAGGUAAGCAUCAGGAAAUAAAUAGAUGCUGGCCUUUCAUUUUUUUGAUAACGAACUAUCCUCACCUCAGCAACUCGAGGUAUAGUCUGCAUUGAUUGACACAUAAUGACUAGCCAUGAAGUGGUCACUCCUGCUGUGCUAUGUGGAACAUAACGCAUACAAGUUAUGCAAGAUAUGUAAGGGAAAACUCAGCUUCCAUGUGCUCCAUUAAUGGUUUGGUAAUUUGCAUGCAGAUUC